GAAGCGUAAAAAUCUAGCUAUAUCUAUACUUUGAAAGUGCUCUUGACGCAUUCGGCGUGCCAUAGCUGAAAGUGAAAGUAGGCCAAAGCCAAAAGUCACUAAUUCAGCACUAGUAUACUAACCAUCUGAAUGGACCUACAUCUCUGCUGUUUGUUGGAUUCUUGGGCAUUGUCAUUGGCUGGGAUUGUUGUCGUCGUUUUUCUUUUGUUAUGGCUGCGGCGUCGAGAAGCGGAGGAUUACCAGAGAAGGACGGGGAUACCUGCCCCGGAGGGAAUCCUUCCUCUGAUAGGUCAUCUUUACCAGGUCAUCAAAAUGG